rnacentral:rRNA from 1 species
UGGGGAAUAUUGCGCAAUGGGGGAAACCCUGACGCAGCGACGCCGCGUGUGGGAUGAAGGUCUUCGGAUUGUAAACCACUGUCGCGAGGGACGAAGCUCUGACGGUACCUCGAAAGGAAGCACCGGCUAACUCUGUGCCAGCAGCCGCGGUAAUACAGAGGGUGCGAGCGUUGUCCGGAAUCACUGGGCGUAAAGGGCGCGUAGGCGGCCCGGUAAGUAGGGGGUGAAAUCUCAUGGCUCAACUGUGAGGCUGCCUUCUAGACUGCCAGGCUUGAGCACAGUAGAGGCGAGUGGAAUUCCCGGUGUAGCGGUGGAAUGCGUAGAGAUCGGGAAGAACAUCGGUGGCGAAGGCGGCCAGCUGGGCCGUUGCUGACGCUGAGGCGCGAAAGCGUGGGGAGCAAACAGGAUUAGAUACCCUCGUAGUCCCUGAGCGGGCUGGCAAGGCGCAU